rnacentral:rRNA from 1 species
UACGUAGGGGGCAAGCGUUGUCCGGAUUUAUUGGGCGUAAAGAGCGUGUAGGCGGCCAUACAGGUCAGCUGUGAAAACUCGAGGCUCAACCUCGAGACGUCGGUUGAAACCGUAUGGCUAGAGUCCGGAAGAGGAGAGUGGAAUUCCCGGUGUAGCGGUGAAAUGCGCAGAUAUCGGGCAGAACACCCGUGGCGAAGGCGGCUCUCUGGGACGGUACUGACGCUGAGACGCGAAAGCGUGGGGAGCGAACAGG